AGCGCAGCGACCCUUGGGCCGGUGGCGCGCUGUCGGUGCCGCGCGUGGCGCCACUGCCCGGUUGCGCGAGAGUU
rfam:Trypanosoma cruzi strain CL Brener tcruzi_1047053448999, whole genome shotgun sequence.